rfam:Haemonchus placei strain MHpl1 genome assembly, scaffold: HPLM_scaffold0000276
GGCCCAAAUUCGAGGAAGAGUAGGUUAGUAGGACUGGCUGACCCUACUAAACUACUCUACUUCAAGUUUGUGCCC